UAAAUCGAUUUGGUGGGAAAUAUUAAUAUAUUUUUUGUAGAAAAUAAAAUAGAUCUUGGCACUGAUUGGUAAAUUACACAAUAAUUAGAAUCUACAUCUAGAUUCUAGAUCUAGAUCUAGAAGGGGUUCUCUCAACAUGGAGACAGGAAUAAGACAGACACAGGGACAAAGAUACCAACAAUUUUUUAAACUUGAACACUGCAAUCAACUGAUUUACAACCCUCUGUAUUCAAGUGGCUAGAGUACUACCAUGUGUUUUGUGCUUAUGGGUUUAUGAUUAGGCCUACAGUAAAAAAUAAAACCAAGUGCUGUGAUAGGUUGAAACAAACGAGGUCCAUGGGGCUAAUGUAGAGAUCAUGAGUAUCUCUGUAGACAGCUCUUGACAUCCAUAUUGUGUGGAGGAUGUUGGAUACUUUGCUGAUGUGUCUUUUGAUGUCCUCAUCUGCUGUCCCAUCUUCUUACAACAGAUCCUAGAUGUGUGAAGUGAUCCUGCUCCGAAAUAGUCAUUUCUUGUGUCCUAAGUGGAACUCCUGUUUGUUGUUGAUUCUUAUCACUUCUGUUUUUUCCAGUUGAUCAUUAAGCCUAUAUUAAGAAGGUUCAUCAUAGUUUACUUAGCGUGAAUUGGGCAUGUUGUCAAUGUGAGAGUAUAGCAUCCUCAAUAUCUAGACCUCCAGCUAAGUGAGGGUCCACUGAAUUCCACCCUUUUGGUCUGAUGUACUUUAUUGUUGAAAAGCGUAUAACAUUUCUGUACUCACUGAAAAAGGGCUGGUUAACUUGUGGAUAAUCUGGCAGUUGGAGUCUUUGUAGAGGUGUUGGAUAAUAUUGCUGAAUUUCAGAGGAGUUUCUUAGCGAUUGAAUGUGCAAAUUCAAUUUUUUCAAUAGGUUGGCUUUCAUGUAGAGAUAUUCUGCUACGCAGUAUUUGUUUAUAGAUAUGUGUAUCUAUCUAUAUAUAUAUGCAUAUAUUUAUGUUUGUGUGUGAAACUAAGGUCUAGUUACACACAGUCAUAUAAUAUUAAAAACUUGUUAGAUUAAGAUGUGUAUUAGAGAUUGUCUGUAGCCAUCAAAUUUUUAUUUAUUCUGGAGGUUGUAUGUAUUGAUUCCAUUUUGUCUAGUUAUUGAGCACACUGAAAUCUGCUAAUAUUGAUUUAUCUACCUACUUACUUGUCCACUUGUAACCUAUAUGAUCUAUUACUUAAUUGUAGCAUCAAAAGUAUUCUUUUAAUGUGAAUAACAUUUUUA